CUGACAAAACGAAUUGUGGU
rnacentral:piRNA from 1 species